CGUUCCUCCCGGCUCCCUUUCUCCUGGUACCUGCUGGUGUUGGGGAGCGUCGUCUGCGGUGGCCAGCUCCGAGUCGUGCACGUGCCGCGGGGAGCGGAGGUCGGCCCCUCCUCCGGGAGCUGGCUGCAUCCCCCUGCCCGAGCUUGCAGGAACUUGAUGUCUCUGACAAAUUUGAUUGCAAUCAGCUGCUGAGAUGCAGAGUUAUUACGGGGAUGACAGACAGAGCCAUCACAAAGCCACGUUUUCUUAGGAGAGCAAAAAUCUUGUGGCAUCCUCCAGCGGUUGCACAACUAGGGUGCGAGAUACGUUGUGGCUGGCACUCGGGCGGCGGCAGCCGCAGGGGUGUCCCCGCAGAUCACCCGCCAGCGCAGCACGUGUCCCUGUGCUGGUGGCGCUCGCAGGAGCUGAGGAUUUCUGGAUGGGACCACGGUUUUGGCGAUGGAGCUGUGCCAGGGGAGGUGCAGGGUGAUGCAUCGUGCGUUAUCUCUCGCUGGCACAGCAAGAGAGAACAUGCAUUUUUACUCCCGAAAGCUCACAUCAUUUUUCCCGAGCGUCCUCGCCAAGUAUGAGCAGGCUGCUCCCAGCUCUGCUUUCUGGCCAGAGAGGGAGAUUUCUCUCCGGUGACGGAGGGGAACAUCUCUGCAGUGCUUGCAGGCUUUUCCGACCGAAAAUGGGUUAGUUCUGCGUGGGACCAGCUGCCUUCAGCAUCCGUGCGGAGCCCCGGCUGAUCCUUGCCCUGUCCUGCCACCACGGUGUAUUUACCCUGCUUAUCUUGCCACUGUGGAAAGGCAAUUUCAGCAAGAGCAGUGUCACCCUGCCUUCAAAGGAAAAGCAGCGAGCGGCGCGUUCCCGCGGUGUUUGCGUGGCCUACAUUUUUGCCUUGUAAUACAAGGAGGGGCUGGACGGACGCAUUACGCCCUCCUCCUUCCCCCCUCGGAGCUGGCAGGGCGGCGGGGCUGGAACAUCUGAUUGCUUUAAGCAUCCCUCCGCUAAUAUGCAAUUAUAGGUCGUUUCAUCUCGAAAUCCCAGCUAAAUCCGCAUGGCCGCGGAGUGACUCACCUAACGACUGCUCCCCUAAUGAAGCCUGGACGCAUUCCUGAAAGACUGGACACGCUGUUAACAUGCCACUUACUAACCAGCCUUUCCAAACAUCACCUGUGUAACGAGUUCAGCCAGUUCUUUCCCCCGCCCCUCCUCCCGUGCAGCACCGGCAGCCGCAGCAGUCCCGAAAUGCCAGCCUGGACGUGGCAAUUUGCUAAGUACGAGUGUGGCCGGAGCCAUCCUCCUUCGGAGAGGGGUUUUCUCGCUGCCGCCGUGGCUCCGGAGGAAUCGGCCUCUGCUCCAGGAAAGGCAGGUUGUCGUCUAGGUUUCAGGGUGGUUUCGGGGCUCAGCCCUUCCUCCAUCAGCCAGCCCGGACCCGGGAAAGCGGCGCUCGCAGGUGCACCGGGACGGACACGGGAGCCUCGGCACCCGCUCCGGCCACAUCCCAGGACGAGCCACCGGACAACACCAAGGAGCACGUCAUGGGAAGCGCCCGCGGGCUCCGGGAAGGAGCAGCCCGGUUGUGCGGGGUCGGAUCGGGGCAGCCGGGCUGAAAAUAGAGCGGCGGCAGGCGGCUGCUCCCCGCCGAGAGGCUCGGGGGGGUGCUCAAGCCAAGUCCGGCUCCGAGGGGAGAGACGGGAUAUCUGAACCCUGGAAAAUCACUGCUUGGACUCACGCCGCCGCUGCCAUCCGGCCGUCUCCGGACCGGCCGCCUGGGAGGAGAGAGGCCACGAGGACGGCGGUCCCAAGCCCGCAGCUCGCACAGUCUCCUUCCAAAAAAUGGUUUUAAUAUUUAAA